rnacentral:rRNA from 1 species
AGCGUAGGCGGAUAGUUUAGUCAGAGGUGAAAGCCCAGGGCUCAACCUUGGAAUUGCCCUUGAUACUGGCUAUCUUGAGUACGGAAGAGGUAUGUGGAACUCCGAGUGUAGAGGUGAAAUUCGUAGAUAUUCGGAAGAACACCAGUGGCGAAGGCGACAUACUGGUCCGUUACUGACGCUGAGGCUCGAAAGCGUGGGGAGCAAACA